AGUACUUCUCUCAACGGUGAU
rnacentral:siRNA from 1 species